rnacentral:rRNA from 1 species
CCAUGCCGCGUGCAGGAUGACGGCCCUAUGGGUUGUAAACUGCUUUUAUAUAGGAAGAAACUCCCGUACGUGUACGGGAUUGACGGUACUAUACGAAUAAGGACCGGCUAACUCCGUGCCAGCAGCCGCGGUAAUACGGAGGGUCCAAGCGUUAUCCGGAUUCAUUGGGUUUAAAGGGUGCGCAGGCGGAACGAUAAGUCAGUGGUGAAAUCCUACAGCUCAACUGUAGAACUGCCAUUGAAACUGUCGAUCUUGAGUAUAGUUGAAGUGGGCGGAAUGUAUCAUGUAGCGGUGAAAUGCAUAGAUAUGAUACAGAACUCCGAUAGCGAAGGCAGCUCACUAACCUAUAACUGACGCUCAGGCACGAAAGCGUGGGGAGCAAACAGGAUUAGAUACCCUGGUAGUCCACGCCGUAAACGAUGAUCACUCGUUGUUGGCAAUACAUCGUCAGCGANUGA